rnacentral:rRNA from 1 species
CCUUUACACUGCACGCCAGUGCGAUACGGGGACUCCAGGUGCGAGGGCAUAUACUCCUCGCUUUUGUACACCGUAAGGUGGUGUACGAAUAAGUGCUGGGCAAGACCGGUGCCAGCCGCCGCGGUAAUACCGGCAGCACAAGUGAUGACCGCUAUUAUUGGGCCUAAAGCGUCCGUAGCUGGCCAGGCAAGUCCGUCGGGAAAUCUCCCCGCCCAACGGGGAGGCGUCCGGUGGAAACUGCCUGGCUUGGGACCGGAAGAUCCAGAGGGUACGUCCGGGGUAGGAGUGAAAUCCCGUAAUCCUGGACGGACCACCGGUGGCGAAAGCGCUCUGGAAAGACGGAUCCGACGGUCAGGGACGAAAGCUCGGGUCACGAACCGGAUUAGAUACCCGCGUAGUCC